rnacentral:tRNA from 2 species
GCUGGUUUAGCUCAGUAGGUAGAGCAAUUGAUUCGUAAUCAAUGGGUCGGGAGUUCGAUUCUUCUAACCAGCACCA